AAUUGAUUUGGCUAGAAAAGAAAUUCAAAUUUGCCGCCUAAAUUUGAGUGUUGAAGUGUGUUCAAUGCUUGGUUUCGCAUUAAGUACCCGUCAAAUUUGAGGGAGAAAAGGGGUGUGGGUGUUGGGUAGCCAGCACAUAUGCACAUAUCAGGUAAAAGUGUAAUAGGACCUGUGCAGGUGUUUGGGGUGACUUUAGACCUGUUAGAUAGGAUAUUUGGAGGUGCAAAGAAACCGGAUGUGCCAUUUUCCUAGAUUGUAGUAACUCCUGGUGCAUGCUGGGAGUCUACAAGCCUCAUGUUGUCAGAUGUUGUGAAGAUGCACUGGAUUUGACCGUGUGUGUUGUGGAUUGUGGAAUUGAAUAUACAGUUUGUAAUGGCUCAUCCUAUGUGUUCUAAUUCACGGAGACAAUGUCUUUCAGUCAUUUCACCCAAGGAGGCAUGCAUAUACGGAUUGAUAGGCUUUGACAACAAACAACCAAAAUGGCGACCGGUGACCAUUAGAAAGUGUCUGAGUGCAUGUAGGAUAUCUGAACGGAGAAUAGGAGUACUGCAUCCCAUCUGAUCCUGCAGUCAUUUCACCCAAGGAGGCAUGCAUAUACGGAUUUAUAGGCUUUGACAACAAACAACCAAAAUGGCGGCCGGUGAAUUAGAAAGUGUCUGAGUGCAUGUAGGAUAUCUGAACGGAGAAUAGGAGUACUGCAUCCCAUCUGAUCCUGCAGGUAAGUGUUUAUUUGUUUACAAUGGCAGUCGGGAUGGAAUGUCAAUGAGUUCAACUGUCAAGUAAAGUUGCAUCAUCAUUAU